AUUGAACGCUGGCGGCAGGCUUAACACAUGCAAGUCGAGCGAGCGGCGGACGGGUGAGUAAUGUCUGUGAAACUUCCUGCUGGAGGGGGCUAACUACUGGAAACGGUAGCUCAUACCGCAUACCAUCAGAUCUGCCCAGAUGGGAUUAGCUAGUGGGUGGGGUAAUGGCUCACCCAGGCGACGAUCCCUAGCUGGUCUGAGAGGAUGACCAGCCACACUGGAACUGAGACACGGUCCAGACUCCUACGGGAGGCAGCAGUGGGGAAUAUUGCACAAUGGGCGCAAGCCUGAUGCAGCCAUGCCGCGUGUGUGAAGAAGGCCUUCGGGUUGUAAAGCACUUUCAGCGAGGAGGCGUUACUCGCAGAAGAAGCACCGGCUAACUCCGUGCCAGCAGCCGCGGUAAUAC
rnacentral:rRNA from 1 species